ACCUGGGUGGCUCAGUCGGUAGAGCGUCCGACUUCGGCUCGGGUCACGAUCUCGCGGUUCGUGAGUUCGAGCCCCAUUUCGGGCU
rnacentral:tRNA from 1 species